GCAUCUAAGCGGGAAGCCCCCCAUAAGAUGAGGUCUCACUAGUGAUUUAAUCACUCUGUAGAGCCGUUGAAGACUACGACGUUGAUAGGCUGGGUGUGGACAUGCAGUAAUGUAUGAAGCUAACCAGUACUAAUUGCUCGUGCGGCUUGACCAU
rnacentral:rRNA from 1 species